ensembl:lncRNA novel transcript
AGGAGGAGGAAGUGGUAUAGCUCAGUCCCGGGAUCCGGCUCAGCGCCAGGCAGGGCUAAGGGCCACCCGAGCGGAUUCGGCCCCGCGGUCAGGGCCAAGCUGGGCUCCGGCGCUGCUGCUCCCGCGGCGCCGACUGGAGCUCCAGAGCCCCUCCCGUCUCUACCUGCUCGAGCUCCCGAAGUCGCCGCGCCUUAACGCGCCGUGUCGGGGCCGCAGGCGCCACUAGGGAAGCCCAGCUCCCCGCUGGAAGGACGCUCCGGACACUGCGAAUGAAUGACGACAACGCGGCUCACUUGGAGCGGGUCCGGGUUUGUGCGGACUCGGUACCACCGCGGGCUCCGCGCGCCGAGCUGAGCAGCUGUGGCUGGCUUCGGGGGAACCUUCGGGGGAAGCUCCUGGGGACCGUGUGCCAAGCACUGGGCCCGACGCCCAUCCCAGCAGGGAGGACGCCGCCAGCCUGCGUGGGUGCGUGUGUGCUGUUUGUGUUUAAGGUUGACGCUCUAUGGGAUAGCGCCACCCCUUUUCCCAGGAAAAGUGUUUCAAGGUUCCAGACCUGGAGCUCGGUUAGAGACCCGGGGUCGGAAGCCAACGCAGCCAAUGGUCGUCGAUGUUUUUGUUUCCUGCAUCCCCAGGGCAAGUCAUGCGCUAAACUUGUCACCGCUUGUGACCCCUCCCCCCUCUCCAUUCCAUUGUAAUUAAAGUGGCCUAGCUAAGUGCAUUACAUCACUUCUUUCCUUGACCUGUAGGGCGUGAGCAAUAGAGAAGUUGGAAGCGGCCCAAAAGCUUAGACCAACUAAUUCACACCACAGCUGUUCCUAUAUCGCAUUUGGGGCUUCGAAAACUGGGCAUGGCAGAAUUUUAAAAUUUAUCCACUCUUGGUAGAUGGAUUUUUUUUUUAAUCAGUGAAACCAGAAACACACAAACCAGGGCAGCUUUAUCCCUAGACAGUUUCAGUUUCCCCAAAUACUUCGAGCUUCCAGUGGUGAUCACAGCCCAUCUGCCUACAUAUCUGAUGACCAUUUUUUUUUCCUCCCGCCCAGGAGAUCUGGAGGAUAGUUCAGCCAAAAAAAAAAAAAAAAAAAAAAAAAAAAAAGUUCCUCUUCCCAAAUGAUGGGAAUUUAGCAGACUCUGCUUUGUUGUGGAUGCUGGGCAAUCCUAGGGACUUUUCCCUUUCCAAAUGAGCAGAGAUUCAAAUGAAACCUUCUUGUGUGGGCUUCAAAAUUGUGACUUUUGUAGCUCCGACUUGAAUUGUUGAAUUCCUUCAAUUAGUCGAAUGAGCAAAUCACCAGCCAUUCUAAUGAGACUGCCAUUUCAUCUGUUCGCUUCCUACCGCUUGGGCUCUCAAGGAAUGGAAGUUUCCCUUGAUGUUACCACACAGACUGAUCUGCUUCUUCCAGGCAUCAGUGGAAACCUCAUGUAUUUAACACAGACUCAAAAAACUCAUUUGGCACUUUUGGUCACAGUGCAGUGCCUUCAGUCACAAAAUCUGCAAAUAAAAAGCAAACAAUAAGAUUAUAA